CCUACGGGAGGCAGCAGUGGGGAAUAUUGCACAAUGGGCGAAACUCUUAUGCAGCAACGCCGCGUGAAGGACGAAGGUCUUCGGAUUGUAAACUUCUAUAAAUAGGGACGAAAGAAAUGACGGUACCUAAGUAAUAAGCCCCGGCUAACUACGUGCCAGCAGCCGCGGUAAUACGUAGGGGGCAAGCGUUAUCCGGAAUUACUGGGCGUAAAGGGAGAGUAGGCGGCAAGGUAAGCGGGAUGUGAAAGCCUUAAGCUUAACUUAAGGAUUGGAUAAAGAACUAUCUAGCUUGAGUACAGGAGAGGAAAGCGGAAUUCCUAGUGUAGCGGUGGAAUGCGUAGAUAUUAGGAAGAACACCAGUGGCGAAGGCGGCUUUCUGGACUGAAACUGACGCUGAGGCUCGAAAGCGUGGGUAGCGAACAGGAUUAGAUACCCGUGUAGUC
rnacentral:rRNA from 1 species